CCUACGGGUGGCUGCAGUGAGGAAUAUUGGUCAAUGGGCGGGAGCCUGAACCAGCCAAGUCGCGUGAAGGAAGAAGGAUCUAUGGUUCGUAAACUUCUUUUGCAGGGGAAUAAAGUGCAGGACGUGUCCUGUUUUGUAUGUACCCUGAGAAUAAGGAUCGGCUAACUCCGUGCCAGCAGCCGCGGUAAUACGGAGGAUCCGAGCGUUAUCCGGAUUUAUUGGGUUUAAAGGGUGCGUAGGUGGUUUGAUAAGUCAGCGGUGAAAGUUUGCAGCUUAACUGUAAAAAUGCCGUUGAAACUGUCGGACUUGAGUGUAAAUGAGGUAGGCGGAAUGCGUGGUGUAGCGGUGAAAUGCAUAGAUAUCACGCAGAACUCCGAUUGCGAAGGCAGCUUACUAAGCUACAACUGACACUGAAGCACGAAAGCGUGGGGAUCAAACAGGAUUAGAUACCCUUGUAGUC
rnacentral:rRNA from 1 species